CCAAGCAACUCCACAUGGAACGCGUAAACAGUAGGGCCCUGCUGAUUUAUCAGCCAGCCGAUUUAAUCGGCCGAUUAUAGCCCUUUUCAAAAUAAUCGCCCAUCGGCCGGACUUUUGCGAAUUAAACGCCGAUAUAUUCUUGAUUUUUUAUAUAGCAAUAAAUGCUGUUAAGUGUCAGAGUCACGAAGAAUGAUGUCCUUGCGCUGUUUAAGAUACAGCUAGGCAACAUUACUGGAGUGGGCUGAGCCGACAGAAAAUGUAUCGCCAGUGCUUGCCCUGGCAAGAUGAUACCUGCGACCUGACCAAGAAAGCAGCAUCAUAAUCAGCAGGCAGACAAACAUCGUGCUGCAGCCUACGUGACAGAAGAAAAAAACUAAACUCAUGUGUCCAUCCUACUGCGCUUUGCUUCCAUUUGGCCUCUUCUCAUACUGCUGAAUCCAGUUUCGAACAUGUGGUCGCUGGUCGAAGCAGAUCGUAGAGUCGGGAUGCUUGGAGGAAAAUGGGGUUCGCCGGCUUUCACAUGGAGAUGCUGCUGUAGAUGCUGCUGUAGAGCUGAUCGAUCUUCGCCUUGAAGAAUUCCUUUUUUGUGCCAAAAUUCAUGAUGAUUUGUUUUUUCAAAGAAAACCUUUCUGUAGUGUUUUUCACAGCCUCCUUUACAUUAUUUCAUCAUAUGGCACGGUUUUACAACAUGUUGAAAAGUUGCAUUUUUUUUCGACAUAGUAUACUAUGGCGUUUCUUUGCGCCAAAAUUCAUGAUGAUUUUUUUUCAAAGAAAACCUUUCUGGAGUGUUUUUCACGGCCUCCGUUACAUUAUUUCAUCAUAUGGCAUGUUUUCACAACAUGUUGAAAAAUCACAUUUUUCGACAUAGUAUACUAUGGCGUUUUUUUGCGCCAAAAUUCAUGAUUUUUUUUUUUCAAAGAAAACAUUACCAUAGUCUUUUUCAUGGCCUCCUUUACAUUAUUUCAUCAUAUGGCACGAUUUUACAACAUGUUGAAAAACCGCAUUUUUUUUCGACAUAGUAUAGUAAGGCGUUUUUUUGUGCCAAAAUUCAUGAUGAUUUUUUUUCAAAGAAAACCUUUCUGGAGUGUUUUUCAUGGCCUCCUUUACAUUAUUUCAUCAUAUGGCACGAUUUUACAUCAUGUUUCAAAAAUCAUAUUUUUUUUCGACAUAGUAUAGUAAGGCGUUUUUUUGCGCCAAAAUUUGUGAUGUUUUUUUUUCGAAGAAAACCUUUCUGGAGUGUUUUUCAUGGCCUCCUUUACAUUAUUUCAUCAUAUGGCACGUUUUUCCAACAUGUUUGAAAAAUCGCAUUUUUUUUUUCGACAUAGUAUAGUAAGGCGUUUUUUUGCCUCAAAAUUCAUGAUGAUUUUUUUUUCAAAGAAAACCUUUCUGGAGUGUUUUUCACGGCCUCCUUUACAUUAUUCCAUCAUAUGGCACGUUUUUACAACAUGUUUCAAAAAUCGCAUUUUUUUUUUCGACAUAGUAUAGUAAGGCGUUUUUUUUGCGCCAAAAUUCAUGAUGAUUUUUUUUUCAAAGAAAACCUUUCUGGAGUGUUUUUCAUGGCCUCCUUUACAUUAUUUCAUCAUAUGGCACGAUUUUACAUCAUGUUUCAAAAAUCAUAUUUUUUUUCGACAUAGUAUAGUAAGGCGUUUUUUUGCCUCAAAAUUCAUGAUGAUUUUUUUUUCAAAGAAAACCUUUCUGGAGAGUUUUUCACGGCCUCCUUUACAUUAUUUCAUCAUAUGGCACGUUUUUACAACAUGUUUCAAAAAUCGCAUUUUUUUUUCGACAUAGUAUAGUAAGGCGUUUUUUUUGCGCCAAAAUUCAUGAUGAAUUUUUUUUCAAAGAAAACCUUUCUGGAGCUUUUUUCAUGGCCUCCUUUACAUUAUUUCAUCAUAUGGCACAUUUUUACAACAUGUUUCAAAAACUGCAUUUUUUUUUUGACAUAGUAUAGUAAGGCGUUUUUUUGCGCCAAAAUUCGUGAUGAUUUUUUUUUCAAAGAAAACCUUUCUGGAGUGUUUUUCACGGCCUCCUCUACAUUAUUUCAUCAUAUGGCAUGAUUUUACAUCAUGUUCAAAAAUCGCAUUUUUUUUUCGACAUAGUAUAGUAAGGCGUUUUUUUGCGCCAAAAUUCAUGAUGAUUUUUUUUUCAAAGAAAACCUUUCUGGAGUGUUUUUCAUGGCCUCCUUUACAUUAUUUCAUCGUAUGGCACGUUUUUACAACAUGUUUGAAAAAUCGCAUUUUUUUUUCGACAUAGUAUAGUAAGGCGUUUUUUUGCGCCAAAAUUCAUGAUGAUUUUUUUUUUAAAGAAAACCUUUCUGGAGUGUUUUUCAUGGCCUCCUUUACAUUAUUUCAUCAUAUGGCACGAUUUUCCAACAUGUUUGAAAAAUCGCAUUUCAUUUUCGACAUAGUAUACUAUGGCGUUUUUUUGCCUCAAAAUUCAUGAUGAUUUUUUUUUCAAAGAAAAACUUUCUGGAGUGUUUUUCACAGCCUCCUUUACAUUAUUUCAUCAUAUGGCACGUUUUUACAACAUGUUUCAAAAAUUGCAUUUUUUUUUCGACAUAGUAUAGUAAGGCGUUUUUUUGCGCCAAAAUUCGUGAUGAUUUUUUUUUCAAAGAAAACCUUUCUGGAGUGUUUUUCACGGCCUCCUUUACAUUAUUUCAUCAUAUGGCACGUUUUUACAACAUGUUUCAAAAAUUGCAUUUUUUUUUUCGACAUAGUAUAGUAAGGCGUUUUUUUUGCCUCAAAAUUCAUGAUGAUUUUUUUUUCAAAGAAAACCUUUCUGGAGUGUUUUUCACGGCCUCCUUUACAUUAUUUCAUCAUAUGGCACGUUUUUACAACAUGUUUCAAAAAUCGCAUUUUUUUUUUCGACAUAGUAUAGUAAGGCGUUUUUUUGCGCCAAAAUUCAUGAUGAUUUUUUUUCAAAGAAAACCUUUCUGGAGUGUUUUUCAUGGCCUCCUUUACAUUAUUUCAUCAUAUGGCACGAUUUUACAUCAUGUUUCAAAAAUCAUAUUUUUUUUCGACAUAUUAUAGUAAGGCGUUUUUUUGCGCCAAAAUUCGUGAUGAUUUUUUUUUUCAAAGAAAACCUUUCUGGAGUGUUUUUCAUGGCCUCCUUUACAUUAUUUCAUCAUAUGGCACAUUUUUACAACAUGUUUCAAAAAUUGCAUUUUUUUUUUUGACAUAGUAUAGUAAGGCGUUUUUUUGCGCCAAAAUUCAUGAUGAAUUUUUUUUCAAAGAAAACCUUUCUGGAGCUUUUUUCAUGGCCUCCUUUACAUUAUUUCAUCAUAUGGCACAUUUUUACAACAUGUUUCAAAAACUGCAUUUUUUUUUUGACAUAGUAUAGUAAGGCGUUUUUUUGCGCCAAAAUUCGUGAUGAUUUUUUUUUCAAAGAAAACCUUUCUGGAGUGUUUUUCAUGGCCUCCUUUACAUUAUUUCAUCGUAUGGCACGUUUUUACAACAUGUUUGAAAAAUCGCAUUUUUUUUUCGACAUAGUAUAGUAAGGCGUUUUUUUGCGCCAAAAUUCAUGAUGAUUUUUUUUCAAAGAAAACCUUUCUGGAGUGUUUUUCAUGGCCUCCUUUACAUUAUUUCAUCAUAUGGCACGAUUUUCCAACAUGUUUGAAAAAUCGCAUUUCAUUUUCGACAUAGUAUACUAUGGCGUUUUUUUGCCUCAAAAUUCAUGAUGAUUUUUUUUUCAAAGAAAAACUUUCUGGAGUGUUUUUCACAGCCUCCUUUACAUUAUUUCAUCAUAUGGCACGUUUUUACAACAUGUUUCAAAAAUUGCAUUUUUUUUUCGACAUAGUAUAGUAAGGCGUUUUUUUGCGCCAAAAUUCGUGAUGAUUUUUUUUUCAAAGAAAACCUUUCUGGAGUUUUUUUCACGGCCUCCUUUACAUUAUUUCAUCAUAUGGCAUGUUUUUCCAACAUGUUUGAAAAAUCGCAUUUCAUUUUCGACAUAGUAUACUAUGGCAUUUUUUUGCCUCAAAAUUCAUGAUGAUUUUUGUUUCAAAGAAAACCUUUUUGGAGUGUUUUUCAUGGCCUCCUUUACAUUAUUUCAUCAUAUGGCACGUUUUUACAACAUGUUUCAAAAAUUGCAUUUUUUUUUCGACAUAGUAUAGUAAGGCGUUUUUUUGCGCCAAAAUUCGUGAUGAUUUUUUUUUCAAAGAAAACCUUUCUGGAGUGUUUUUCAUGGCCUCCUUUACAUUAUUUCAUCAUAUGGCACGAUUUUACAUCAUGUUUCAAAAAUCAUAUUUUUUUCGACAUAGUAUAGUAAGGCGUUUUUUUGCGCCAAAAUUCAUGAUGAUUUUUUUUUCAAAGAAAACCUUUCUGGAGUGUUUUUCAUGGCCUCCUUUACAUUAUUUCAUCAUAUGGCACGUUUUUCCAACAUGUUUGAAAAAUCGCAUUUCAUUUUCGACAUAGUAUACUAUGGCGUUUUUUGCCUCAAAAUUCAUGAUGAUUUUUUUUUCAAAGAAAACCUUUCUGGAGUGUUUUUCACGGCCUCCUUUACAUUAUUUCAUCAUAUGGCAUGUUUUUCCAACAUGUUUGAAAAAUCGCAUUUCAUUUUCGACAUAGUAUACUAUGGCAUUUUUUUGCCUCAAAAUUCAUGAUGAUUUUUGUUUCAAAGAAAACCUUUCUGGAGUGUUUUUCAUGGCCUCCUUUACAUUAUUUCAUCAUAUCGCACAUUUUUACAACAUGUUUCAAAAAUUGCAUUUUUUUUUCGACAUAGUAUACUAUGGCGUUUUUUUGCGCCAAAAUUCAUGAUAAUUUUUUUUUCAAAGAAAACCUUUCUGGAGUGUUUUUCACGGCCUCCUUUACAUUAUUUCAUCCUAUGGCACGUUUUUACAACAUGUUCAAAAAAUCGCAUUUUUUUUCCACAUCCUAUAGUGAGGCGUUUUUUUGCGCCAAAAUUCAUGAUGAUUUUUUUUUUCAAAGAAAAACUUUCUGGAGUGUUUUUCACAGCCUCCUUUACAUUAUUUCAUCAUAUGGCACGUUUUUACAACAUGUUUCAAAAAUUGCAUUUUUUUUUCGACAUAGUAUAGUAAGGCGUUUUUCUGCGCCAAAAUUCAUGACAAUUUUUUUUUUCCAAAGAAAACCUUUCUGGAGUGUUUUUCACGGCCUCCUUUACAUUAUUUCAUCAUAUGGCAUGUUUUUACAACAUGUUUCAAAAAUUGCACUUUUUUUUCGACAUAGUAUAGUAAGGCAUUUUUUUGCGCCAAAAUUCAUGAUGAUUUUUUUUUUCAAAGAAAACCUUCCCACAAGCCCAAAAACACACCACAGUAGCACCCUAAAGUAAAACUACCAAUGGGUUCCCUGUUUUCCUUUGUGAACAAUUCAAAGGUCCCUCUCUAUCUCCCUACACAUCCACCAACCACUGGAACACAUCUCCAAAGUUCUGCCGGGCCAGCUCAGCUUCCCCUCAGAAGAAGUGCUGCCACCUGCCAGAUGAAGGAGCCUUUUGAGAGGCAGCUGGCAUCGUGAUUGGACUGUACUUUGGUCUGUUCCAAUCCAGCUUCAGCUCCAGAGACGGCAGGCGGGACGAGUCAACGGAGGCCGGAUGGACGAAGGCAUGCAGCUGAGUACAAUCCAGAAAACAACAGAGGAGGAGUGCAGCAGCCCAGAGCCAGAACAAGCAGAGUGGCAUGGUAUGUCUCUUAGAAAACAUCAUAGUAUAGCCUUUGGGAUGAAAAACGACAUAAUAUACAUCGUAUAUUGUACAAAUAACAAGUCAAAGGAAAGAGACAUCAACUGUAGAAUUGUAGUAAUUGUGGGCUGGCUGAUUUACUGAUUAUCAGUAUUUUAUUUUUUACUGAUUUACGGUAAUAAAUAGGGCUGCACAGUGGCGUAGUGGUUAGCACUUUCGCCUUGCAGCGAGAAGAUCCCUGGUUCGCGUCCCGGCUUUCCCGGGAUCUUUCUGCAUGGAGUUUGCAUGUUCUCCCUGUGCAUGCGUGGGUUUUCUCCGGGUACUCCGGCUUCCUCCCACAGUCCAAAAAUAUGCUGAGGUUAAUUGAUUACUCUAAAUUGCCCGUAGGUGUGAAUGUGAGAGUGAUUGUUUGUCUAUAUAUGUAGCCCUGCGACAGACUGGCGACCUGUCCAGGGUGUCCCCUGCCUUCACCUGAGUCAGCUGGGAUAGACUCCAGCCCCCCCAUGACCCUAGUGAGGAUUAAGCGGUGUAUAGAUAAUGGAUGGAUUACGGUAAUAAAUACAUUUAAAAAUGGUGCUACUUUGGCUCUGAACCUUCAUCUACCUGUGGUCACUCUGUCUUCUGGAGUGAUUUGAUUGGUUAUACGUCAUGAAUAAAACUCCUUUAACAUCUGUAAACAAAACAAAAACGUAUCAAAAAAGUUUUCUGUUAGAGUUUGUGUUCAUCUAAGUUUAACUCCAAGAUUUUAAAUACUUUCAUUUACUGCAAAUGAAUAUCUACUCCAAAUGUCUCACUAAUAAUCAUUAUCAGCCUUAAAAACCCACAAAACACCCUUCUAUACUCGACCACACUUAGUACAGUCUGGUUCCCCCUUCUAUAAAUCUGCUUGGAAUCUUCCACUUCCUGUUUGUCAAAGUGGCCUUCUACCUGGACAGGUUUUGUUGGAGCUCAUGCAACAAACAUUUUGGGUAACUGCACUUUAAUAUGGAUGGAUGACACUGAAUUAGAGUCUGUUUUAAUGAGACUGAGUUAAGAUGUGUAGCUCUGUCAUUAAAUAAGAAAUUAUUCCUCGGAAUUCACAGAGAAAAGUCUGAAAUGUUUGCUAGGUUAGGAUCCCACAUGUUCUUUGGCUCAGCUAAAGCUAACUCUCUCCAACUUCUGGAUCUCUUGAGUUGCUUGUUGUUAAAAUAUCUUGCUAGAGGUGCUGAAGCUCAGAAAGUCUGAGAUGUUUGUUCAAAAUAAGCUCAUUCUCAAGUCUUAUCUGAACUGUCCUCUUUUGUUUGAACUUUCCCUAAACUUAAGAGUUAAUGACAGAGCAGCACAUCCAGACUCAGUCUCAUUUAUGUAGAGAUUAAACUUCAGUGUCAUUCAUUGAUGUUAAAGUGCACUUUUUCAAAUGUUUGUUGCACAUGCUCCCGACCAAAGCAGUCCAGGUGGAAGACGAUGUGAAGAGAAAGCUCCAGAGAAUGAAUAUCACACAUUUACGUUGGAAAUAAAUGUCCUUUAAUUAGACAUUGUCAUGCAAAAGUUGGAUUUCCCUUUAAUGAUGUUCAAGUCUUUGUUGAGUGUUUUGUUGAUGUUGGUUUCUUUUAUUUUAGAGUAUUCUUUGAUUUUUAAAUGUUUUCUGACAAUCGGCCCCAAAGAUUAAAACCUUCUACGGCUCACAAGCUGCAACAAUUCACACAUUAUCAACUGUCUUUCUGACUAAACUAAGAUAAAAAGUGAAAAACUUUCUGAUUCCUGCAUCAUGAAUGUAAGUAUUUUUGGUUUUUUAUGACAGUAAACUGAAUAUAUAUGGGUUUGACAUUUUAUAAACCAAAACAAGAAAUGAAUUACUGGAGAAAACAAUCAAUAGAUUAAUGGACAAAGAAAAUGUGUUUUCCAACAUAUAUGGCUGAAUUACUCCAACAUUACAAGAUACAUACACUUUUAAUUCAAUUUUAUUCAUAUAAUGCCAAUUACAGGGCAAAUUGUCUCAAGACACUUUAUUUUUAUGUUUUUUUGUCAUAUUUAAAGUAUGACAAAGUAAGAAAUUUAAACCUCUUGACUAAUCCAAUUUAUUAUCUGGUUUUUAAGAGACUAAUUGACAACUAAAAUAACUUUCUCUACUAAAACUAAUAAACAUGAUGUCAAAUAGAAGGAAGAGUUUUAAAUACUGCAGUCCCACAACGACAAGAAUAAAGUGUGUCAACAAAAACUAAA